GCAGGUCCUUUGAUGAUGCGCGUGCUUCGAAUCAACCCUCAUUUAAUUUCCUCAUUGCUGCUGCAACUUUUCCCGUGUGCGAGUUCACUUUAAUCUCAUUGAAGAACACACCCCGACUACAUGACGUGAACAGUGCUGUGUGUCCAAUUUUCCCUGAGGAACAAUGAAGUAAAUCCUACCCUACCUUAGCUAUGACAGAGAGGACUUCCUGCUCUUCGUGUUGGGAUCGUCUCUCCAGGUCUUCAGGGUGUGGAGCUCCGCCUGGGCGUUCACCAGCUCUGCCUUCACCCCCCUCAGCUGCUCAUGGAGACCUGGCAAGCAGUCUCAGCCUCCUGGAGCUCUGUCUUGGCCUGCUCCAUCUGACUGUGGCUCCAGCUGUUGAAUGCAGCUAUAGAACUCUUACAGAGAAACAGGGUUUUCCUACGUCCUGGAGUGGCCUAGCCAGUCUCCAGACCUGAACCCAAUAGAAAAU